CUGGCCUCUCCGCAAACACAGUGUGUGCGGGCGUGAGGGCUAGGUUCCGGUUCUGUGGUGAUCUGGACUGUCCCGACUGGGUCCUGGCAGAAAUCAGCACGCUGGCCAAGAUGGUUAAGUGCACAGGGUCUACACUGGGUGGAGGAGGGGUGUUGGGCUGGGGAUUGUGGCUGUAGAGGAUGGUGAGGUUUCUCUGGGGCUAGGGCCUCAGUGCUCUCAGCCUGUGCUGCCAUGCUUUGUGACCUUGAUCAGUGGCUGGC
rnacentral:lncRNA from 1 species